UGGUGAAUAGUUCAAAAUGUCUUAUUCCAUAAUUUAAUAUCUAAUACAGUAUGUGGAAGAAGACAUUCAAAACUGUUCACCACCAACUGUCCUGUUUCGUGGGACUCCCUGUAGUUUGAACUUGAUUUUUUGAAUCCCAAAUAAAACUUAAUUUUAAAAGAAGGGGAAAAUUAGGUUGCCUAGCACUUGUUAAGUUAAAAAAGGGUAGAAAUAUGAAAUGAGCCAAUUUUAUUCGUUUUUGAAGUUUGAAACACUUUACCCCCCUACUCCCCCCCGCAAACACACCCGUAGACACUAUUUUCCGGGAUUAUAAAUUUAUUCUUAGUGCGUAAAUAGAUAGUUAAACGGAGUUUGACUUAAUUUACGCAAUUGGCUAUCCAGUAACCGUCUAUUCGAGUCGACAUGCGUCGCACAUCAAAAUUGUCAUUAAUAUAUCAGUCUUGAAAGAGUCUUAUUAGUGCUACAUCAAACUUUUAUUGGCAAGAUAAAAAAAUGUCGGAAACUAUGGGAGAGUGCGCCAAAUGUAAAGUAAGGGUGAAUAAGGAGCACUGUGUUGAGUGUGCCCUUUGUAAAUUGGUCUUUGAUGCUGAUUGUGCGGGGUUGUCGGAGGUAGAGUUCAGAGUACUAGGAGAAGCUCGGAGCAGGGAUGGAGAAAUCCUAGGCACAGGUGGAACUAAUGGAGGCAGUACUGAAAUAUUUGAAAAGCUCAGCAGACCUAUUGAAGAAGUAUUUGGAGGACACAUCGUAGGCAUUAAAGAGGAACGAAUCGAGGGCGUUAAAGAAGAACGAAUUGGAGAAAUAAAAGAGGAAAGAAUCGGAGGACUUAAAGACCAACAAAUCGGAGGAGUUAAGGAUCAUAUUGGAGGAGUAUUCUGGUGCUGUGAAAGCUGUCGUGUCCUAAUGAAGAAGAUGAAACCUGUUGACAAUGACAAUAAAGUUGAUAACAAAAUGGAGGUCAAAGAACUGAAGAAUAAGAAAAGGGAGGAUGAGGACUCAAAGGAGUUAAGAAUGGAGAGUGAAAACCCGCUGCUUACCCUCAUUAAAGAGCUUAAGGUUUCUCAAACAGUGCGUCAACCUGUUAGAUCAACAUACAGGCAUGAUAUCAGAGAAAUAAAGCAUGGUGAACGGUUUCGCUUCACCUCUGAAAGUGUUGGUGAGGGGCAUCCUGACAAGAUGUGUGACCAGAUCAGUGAUGCGAUUCUUGAUGCACAUCUACGUGAGGAUAGUGAUGCGAAGGUUGCUGUAGAAACGGUCACAACAACCGGCCUUAUCAUGUUAAUCGGUCAGGUCACCAGCAAGGCAAAUAUUGACUACCAGAAGGUUGUUAGGGAUACAGUGAAAGAGAUUGGUUAUGAUGACUCAAGUAAAGGGUUUGAUUAUAAGACUCUAAGCCUCCUCGUGGCUCUCGAACAUCAAAGCCCAGAUAUCGCUCAGGGUGUUCAUCACAACGGUGUACUCAAGGAGGAUAUUGGUGCUGGAGAUCAAGGGUUUAUGUUCGGAUAUGCUACAGAUGAAACUGAUGAGUGUAUGCCCCUGACUGUUAUGCUGGCCCAUCAACUGAACAAGAAAAUAGCUGAUCUAAGAAAAGAUGGAUCAUUAUGGUGGGCUAGACCUGAUAGUAAAGCACAGGUGACAUGUGAAUAUUUCUUUGAUAAUGGAGCCUGUAUUCCAAUACGUGUACAUACUGUUGUAGUUUCUGUACAGCAUUCAGAAAAGGUGAGUCUUGAGUACCUGAGAUGUGAUGUCCUGGAGAAGGUUGUGAAGAGAGUAAUUCCCCUGAAAUAUCUGGAUAAAAAUACUGUGGUUCAUAUCAAUCCCUGUGGGAGUUUUGUUAUCGGAGGUCCCAUGGGAGACGCAGGACUUACAGGCAGAAAGAUUAUUGUGGAUACUUACGGCGGGUGGGGUUCCCAUGGUGGUGGCGCAUUUUCUGGAAAGGAUUAUUCCAAAGUAGACCGUUCAGCGGCAUACGCCCUGCGCAUGAUUGCAAAAUCACUGGUCAAGUCAGGUCUCUGCCGCCGCUGUUUAGUCCAGGUCUCUUAUGCUAUUGGACUAUCUGAUCCAUUGGGUAUAGCUGUGUUUGAUUAUGGAACUGGGUCAUUAUCCUCACAGAAGUUGACCGAAAUAGUGAAGAAAAACUUUGAUUUGCGGCCUGGACGAAUAGUUCAAGAUCUGCAGCUACAACAACCAAUAUUUCAACAAACAGCAGCUUAUGGACACUUUGGAAGGAGCUGUUUUCCUUGGGAGCAGCAUAAGCAGCUCCGCUACUGAUCUACACAGAGCUCUUCGGCAAAUCUUCUCUAGAUAGAUUUGAAAUUGACCUAUAUUUCCCUAAGAUUUGUAGAUUUUACAUCCAUAUUAGCCGAUUUUUCACAAACUCUGAUUUUCUAAUCCCUAUAUUCUUUGUGGCUAAGACUAAAUUCCUUUGGUAGAUUUUCCAUCCAUAUUGGCAGAUUUUUUCCAUAAUUUGGUAAUUUUCCAUAAAUAUUGGCAGAUUUU
rnacentral:misc_RNA from 1 species